rnacentral:rRNA from 1 species
UUAAAUUUUUGAAGUUAUCUUAGCUCUUUUGUUGGGUGAAAUCAGUAUAAAGAGUUUCUCUUUCUUUUUAAAUUAAUAGGAACUAAAAAACUUUGAUUUAAAACCAGGAUUAGAUACCCUGUUAUUCUAAGUUAAAUUCAGACAGGGUAGUAAAAGUUGUUCUUCAAACCCAAAGAUUUUGGCGGCACUUUAUCCAAAUAGAGGAGCUUGUCCCUUAAUCGAUAGUCCCCGUUUUAUCUUUCCUCUGUUUAUAGAGCUUGUAUACCGCCGUUGUCAGAUUACUUUUAGAGAAUGUUUUCAAGUUAAAAGACUUUUUUACUUCAGGUCAAGGUGCAGUUUAUAUAGAGGUGGGGGUGAGCUACAAUUUUCUCUAGAAAUACGGAUCCCAAGCCUUGAAGCUGGUUGAAGGUGGAUUUAUUAGUAAAGUAA